GAUGAACGCUGGCGGCGUGCCUAAUACAUGCAAGUCGAGCGAACAGACGAGGAGCUUGCUCCUUCGACGUUAGCGGCGGACGGGUGAGUAACACGUAGGUACCCUACCUAUAAGACUGGGAUAACUUCGGGAAACCGGAGCUAAUCCCGGAUAAUAUUUCGAACCGCAUGGUUCGAUAGUGAAAGAUGGCUUUGCUAUCACUUAUAGAUGGACCUGCGCCGUAUUAGCUAGUUGGUAAGGUAACGGCUUACCAAGGCAACGAUACGUAGCCGACCUGAGCGGGUGAUCGGCCACACUGGAACUGAGACACGGUCCAGACUCCUACGGGAGGCAGCAGUAGGGAAUCUUCCGCAAUGGGCGAAAGCCUGACGGAGCAACGCCGCGUGAGUGAUGAAGGUCUUCGGAUCGUAAAACUCUGUUAUUAGGGAAGAACAAACGUGUAAGUAACUGUGCACGUCUUGACGGUACCUAAUCAGAAAGCCACGGCUAACUACGUG
rnacentral:rRNA from 1 species